rnacentral:rRNA from 1 species
GGAAGUGGUGCUUGCACCAUGGUAACCAUGGCGGACGGGUGAGUAACGCGUAAGGAACUUGCCUGCGGGACUGGGAUAACAGCAGGAAACUGCUGAUAAUACCGGAUAAGGUCAUUAAGCUGCAUAGCUUAGUGAUGAAAGGAGACGCCUGCGGAGAGCCUUGCGUCCUAUUAGCUAGUUGGAGGGGUAACGGCCCACCAAGGCGAAGAUAGGUAGCCGGCCUGAGAGGGUGGACGGCCACAAGGGGACUGAGAUACGGCCCUUACUCCUACGGGAGGCAGCAGUGGGGAAUAUUGGACAAUGGGGGCAACCCUGAUCCAGCAAUUCUGUGUGCACGAAGACGGUUUUCGGAUUGUAAAGUGCUUUCAGCAGGGAAGAAGUAAGUGACGGUACCUGCAGAAGAAGCGACGGCUAAAUACGUGCCAGCAGCCGCGGUAAUACGUAUGUCGCGAGCGUUAUCCGGAAUUAUUGGGCAUAAAGGGCAUCUAGGCGGCCUUUCAAGCCAGGGGUGAAAACCUGCGGCUCAACCGCAGGCCUGCCUUUGAAACUGAUAGGCUGGAGUACCGGAGAGGUGGACGGAACUGCACGAGUAGAGGUGAAAUUCGUAGAUAUGUGCAGGAAUGCCGAUGAUGAAGAUAGUUCACUGGACGGUAACUGACGCUGAAGUGCGAAAGCCGGGGGAGCGAACAGGAUUAGAUACCCUGGUAGUCCCGGCCGUAAACGAUGAUUACUGGGUGUGGGCAGGAAGACUGUCUGUGCCGAAGCGAAUG